ensembl:lncRNA
CGUAGGAAAGGUUUUCAUCUUUAGCUCACAAUCUGUGAAUAAUAUACGAUUAGAAAGGUUAAAAAAUGAUUUUAAACAUCACAGCACAAUUGAAAAAUAUAUGGGACAUGGAAACCAAACGAGGGUGGUCUAUCGUGAUAGAUGGGAUGGGCUGAGGGGCGGGAAUAAAGAGCUGAGGUCUAUGGUGAUAGGUGGGAUGGGCUGAGAGUGGCUGAGGGGGUGGGAUUAAAGAGCUGAGGUCUAUGGUGAUAGAUGGAAUGGGCUGAGAGUGGCUGACGGGCGGGAUUAAAGAGCUGAGGUCUAUGGUGAUAGGUGGGAUGGGCUGAGAGUGGCUGAGGGGGUGGGAUUAAAGAGCUGAGGUCUAUGGUGAUAGGUGGAAUGGGCUGAGAGUGGCUGAGGGGGUGGGAUUAAAGAGCUGACAUCUAUGGUGAUAGGUGGGAUGGGCUGAGAGUGGCUGAGGGGCGGGAUUAAAGAGCUGAGGUCUAUGGUGAUAGGUGGGAUGGGCUGAGAGUGGCUGAGGGGCGGGAUUAAAGAGCUGAGGUCUAUGGUGAUAGGUGGGAUGGGCUGAGAGUGGCUGAGAGGCGGGAUUAAAGAGCUGAGGUCUAUGGUGAUAGGUGGGAUGGGCUGAGAGUGGCUGAGGGGACGGGAUUAAACAGCUGAGGUCUAUGGUGAUAGAUGGGAUGGGCUGAGAGUGGCUGAGGGGCG